ACAACUGUGCCGCAUCAAUCCCAUUUCUGUUCUAGGAUGCUCAUUACACCUCUAAUGGCACGACCCUGCAUGGAGGGAACAGAAAGAUCUACAGACAUCAUCCAAUAAUGACACAGGCAGUAGAGAUAAUCAGCUCAGGAACAUUGCGUCUCCGUCAUGGGGCUGGUUAUAAAGAAGCCAAACACAAAGUUGACCUAUGAAUUGGGUGAAGGUACCAAAAGGCAAGAGGACUAAACGGAAGACAUCACCCACUAUAGCAGCUUCGGAGACUGUGAAGAUAAUUUGAGCAGAUGGAUGAGGAUUCAUGGGCAGGAUGUCCUGUGCUUCUUUUUAUUCAUUGCAGAUUUAUAUUUCUUUAUCUUUUGGCCUAUUUGUUAAUUUUUGUACAAGAGAUAAGCUAUUUUCUAGUUAAAGACGAACUCUGCUUUUUUGCCCAUUUUAUGCACACUCACCAUUAUUAAUCCUACAGCACCAUUUGUUUUAUUCCAGCACAGCUGCAUCCAUGUGUUUUAUUACUUUAACUUGGUCAUGUGAUCACCAGUCAGACUUACAUAAAGUUACAUGGCUUAAUAGGUCAAGAGGAAGUCAGUCCUGUGUCAGCUGACUUUUUGUG